AAGUAGAAGAUAUGGAUUCUGAUGUAGAUGUUGCGGAAUUAGAGUUUGAAAGGCAGGUGGGUUCAUGUGUUGGAGUACAAGGGAAAAAUGAGUUGGCCAAGUAUUUAGAAGAUGAUAGAGAAGUUAAUCCCGCCGGAAAAAACUUUGAUUGUUUGGGGUGGUGGAAAAAAUAUGGUGAAAGGUAUCCAACAAUAGCUCUCAUGGCUAGAGAUGUACUUGCCAUUCCCGUAUCAACAGUCGCUUCCGAAUCAGCUUUUAGCACCGGUGGUCGAGUGCUUGAUUCAUUUCGCAGCUCACUCUCAACUAAGAUGGUUGAAGCCUUGAUUUGUGCACAAGAUUGGUUACGUACAUCUCAAGGUCCUCUUAUACUUGAGGAGAGACUUGAAGAUAUGGAAAAAAUUGAAUCAGAAAUGUUACCUCUUGGUGAGGAACACUCUCUCUUUGUUGAUGAUGAUUAAUUGAUUAGAGGCAACAACUUAUAAUCAUGAAGGUUGGUGGUGAUUGUAUUGAAGGCCGGAAGUCAUUGAAGGCUUGGAGUAUUUUAUGAAAUAUGAUUACUAUGGACUGUUUUUGUUUUAAAACUAUAAACUAUGGACUUUUUUUUUGUUAUGUAUUGGUUUAUUAUUGUUAACUAUGGACUUUUUUUUAAAAAGAAACAGUAUGUUUGUAUCAAGUAUUUGUUCAUUUGUAAUCGGGUUGAGUGCUGUGUUAUAUGUGUAUUCAGGUUUAAAUAUCAUCCUAUUAGGCUGUUAUUUGUUACAAAAAAAAUCAUAGUACUAAUAACAAUAAUUAAUACUAGAAAAACAGGUGGAAGUUUGGACAAAAAUAUUAUUAAGCAGGUGGGUACAAGGAGGAGUUCAGGCAGCCAAGUAGGAGAGAUGAGGAGGCAGCAGCCUCAAGGACAGGGACUGGUAGGUUGCCAAAGCGGAAGACAGCGAUAGUUGUAAUUAUUUUUGUUAUUUGUGUAUUUAAGUUCAAUUGUUAUAGUUCAAAAAAUAGGAAGUAAAAAAAAAAAAAA